UAGGGAAUUUUGCACAAUGGACGAAAGUCUGAUGCAGCAACACUGCGUGAAGGAUGAAGGUUUUCGGAUCGUAAACUUCUUUUAUCGGGGAAUAAUCUUGAAGGUACCCGAUGAAUAAGCACCGGCUAACUACGUGCCAGCAGCCGCGGUAAUACGUAGGGUGCAAACGUUAUCCGGAUUUAUUGGGCGUAAAGAGCUCGUAGGUGGAUUGAAAAGUUGGAUAUGAAAUACCCAGGCCCAACCUGGGAAACGUAUCCAAAACUCUCAACCUAGAGGUAUGCAGGGGAAGAUGGAACACAUAGUGGAGCAGUGAAAUGCGUAGAUAUUAUGUGGAACGCCGAUGGUGAAGACAGUCUUCUGGGCAUUACCUGACACUGAGGAGCGAAAGCGUGGGGAGCGAACGGG
rnacentral:rRNA from 1 species